rnacentral:rRNA from 1 species
UGGGGAAUUUUGGACAAUGGGCGCAAGCCUGAUCCAGCAAUGCCGCGUGUGUGAAGAAGGCCUUCGGGUUGUAAAGCACUUUUGUCCGGAAAGAAAACUUCCUGGUUAAUACCUGGGGAGGAUGACGGUACCGGAAGAAUAAGCACCGGCUAACUACGUGCCAGCAGCCGCGGUAAUACGUAGGGUGCGAGCGUUAAUCGGAAUUACUGGGCGUAAAGCGUGCGCAGGCGGUCUGUUAAGACAGAUGUGAAAUCCCCGGGCUUAACCUGGGAACUGCAUUUGUGACUGGCGGGCUAGAGUAUGGCAGAGGGGGGUAGAAUUCCACGUGUAGCAGUGAAAUGCGUAGAGAUGUGGAGGAAUACCGAUGGCGAAGGCAGCCCCCUGGGCCAAUACUGACGCUCAUGCACGAAAGCGUGGGGAGCAAACA